rnacentral:lncRNA from 1 species
CCCCAAGGCGGGGCUGCUCCAGGCCGCUCCCGGUGCUCGGGCGGUUGGAGGGUUGCCGGGGUGGCCUUUGUGACACAGGCACGGUGCGUCAGGGCCCUCGGUGACACGGGACCUUGCGGUGCCCCCAGUCCAUUGUGACAUGACAGCCCCACCCUGGCUGGGGGUAUAUAAAGGGCUUGUGGGGCCCGGGUCAGUCCCGGGAGAGCGGCUGCGUCCAGGGGCCUGUUUGUCACGGAGCAUUACAGACAUGGAGUAGGAAAAGGCAAGCCCCAACUCCCAGACCCCCAGCCCCUUGCCCAGCUGGCCACAAGACCAGGACCUCAGUGGGCAGUGGCUGGGGACAGUGGGAAGCUCAGUCCUGCCUCUGUCAGAGCCUGAGAGGAGCCGGCCUUUGUCACCAUGGACGAGGAGUGGGAAUGCGCUGGAGACGAAGAGCUCUCCCCGUGGGCAGAUGUCAACAGACGAGAGCUUUGCCUGUGGGAUGAAGUGACUCUGCAAGAGUUUUGCCAACAGGAAGAAGCGGCAUUCCAGGAAUUCUGCCCCUGGCAGGUGAGACACCCGGGGCUGCACCACUGCCAUGUGAGAAUGCAUUGGGGAGAUGAGCUGUCCCCAGAGUGUGUGGCAGUGGAGGAACUGCACCAGUGCCAUGGUGACGAUGACGGAUGCCCAGAGUUGUGCCUGUGCGAAGAAGCGGUGAGAAGCCAAGAGCUGUGCCCCUGGGCAGAGAGUGGGCAGGAGCUGCACCAGUGGGAUGAUGACGAUGACAGAUGCCAAGCAUUGUGCCUGUGUGAAGAGAUGAGAAGCCAAGAGCUGUGCCCAUGGGCACAGUGUGGGCAGAAGCUGUGCCAAUGUGACGACAAUGAGGAGAACAGGUGCCAAACAUUGUUUCCGUGCAAAGAAGAGAUGAUACUGCUGUGCCCAAGGGAUCUGUCGGAACUGUCUCUUUCCGAUGAAGAUUCUGACAUCUGCCCAUGUGAAGAGGACAAGAGAGACCGCAAGCUGACCCAAAAGACGCUCCGGCGGAAAACAGACGAGAGUGAGACAAAGCUAUCACCUGCAGGGAAAGAUACAGAAGCCCAGCAGGAGCCCAGCUCUGCCCCGGGCAGUGCCACAGAGGCUGAGCCGGCUGCUGCCACGGCUGGAGCUUCUGAGCCUGUGGCUGCUGAAGGGGAAAAGGCACCAGGCCAGGAGGAGCCCCAGGGUCCUGCCCCUGAGCUCUCCCAAGGUGAAGUAAACCAGGAAGGAACUGAACAGGAAGCUCCCAUUGAGCCAGAGCCAUCCCAAGGAGAUGCCGGUGACUCCCAGUAG